rnacentral:rRNA from 1 species
UACAGAGGUCUCGAGCGUUAGGCGGAAUCACUGGGCUUAAAGCGUGUGUAGGCGGAUCGUUAAGUGCCUUGUGAAAUCCCACGGCUUAACCGUGGAACUGCUUGGCAUACUGGCGAUCUUGAGCAACCUAGGGGCGAGCGGAACAAAUGGUGGAGCGGUGAAAUGCGUAGAUAUCAUUUGGAACGCCAAUGGUGAAAACAGCUCGCUGGGGGUUUGCUGACGCUGAGGAGCGAAGGCAUGGGGAGCGAACAGG